rnacentral:tRNA from 1 species
GCCAGCCUAGCUUAGUUGGUAGAGCAGCUGUUUCGUAAAUAGCAGGUCGUGGGUUCGAGUCCCAUGGUUGGCU